rnacentral:lncRNA from 1 species
UUUUGGUAUGAGAAAUUCAUGCCAAGAGAAGCAGUAUACAUGGUCAAGAAUUGGAGCUUUAUUUCCUCUUUGCUAUCAGGCAAUCAAUCCCAAUUUAAUUUUGAAACUCUAAUUGCAACGGAAACUAAUUAUGAGCAGCAAGAUCUGGAACCCCUAAUUAAAGUGGGAGUCAAUAAAGCGACUCGGCAUUAUCAACUGGGGCACCACUGGCAGGAUGGGGGAUUAAGUACAAGCAGAUUUCUUUCCCAAGUAACUAGCUAAGCAAAACAAAACAGGGAGACUCAUCUUGAGGGUGCAGUUGGUAAACCCUAAGUUGGGACCGAGGGCUACAGUUUCCAGUGAGUGAGCAGCUCAGGCCUUCUCUCUGUGCUAUGAAGACUUCGACAAACUGGGAAUAGAGUAGAAGUCCAGGCGGAAAGAAGGGUGUUUCUACCACAGUCAACCACCAAGAGUGGCCACGGUGGAGAGAUAGAGAGUGCACAAGCUGAAGGACAGCUGGACCCGACUACCCCAUAUAUUAAGUGGCCUUUUCUAUAUAUUAUGUAGCCUUGGGGCCGUAACUGCAGACCAACAGGUACCCAAACAGAAACUCAUCCCUCAGACCCAGAUAUUUAUAGGCUGACUCCCUCAUACACCCAAUGCUGAGUUGCACUUCACUGAAUUAGCAGAAGUUGGCUUGUGGAAGGACUUCUAUUAGAGUGAAACCCACUGCCAAUCCCCGAAGUGCACCAUACCCUUUGGGACCUCCUAGUCUAUCUUGGAAGCUUUAAAAUACUGUUAAUGGCAUGACUUCAUCUGCCCCACACUUGAACGAUCCAUAUUUAGGCCAGAAACCACAUGGAUCUCGCAUCACUUCACUGGGCUCCAGGACAGAAAGGGGCUCAAGUCAGGAAGGGAAUGCUUCUAACCAAUGAUUAAUUACUCAUCCUCUGUCAAAUUUCUUGACAAAGGGACAAAAAUGAACACUCCUACCAGGGAGCAAAAUCAAUGGAAACUCACCCUUUUCCCACUCUGUAUAUUUUUAAACAAAAAGGUUUUCUCCCACUAACAGGUAGUUUUCCUGAUUUUUUUAAAAGCGUAUUGAGAAGAAAGAAGCAGAACAUCAUAACCCUGCUGCAGCCUUUUCAAAGAUCCUGCACACAAACCUCGCAUCCAACGCAGCCAAGCAAGGCCCUCCUGGAUUCCCUGCGACCUGAGGCCUCUACCCCUACCAAGAGCCACAUAACACCUUUAGGGAAAACUAACUGCUUUUCCCUUCAUUCCAGUUAUAGCGGAUGCUCAACGAGUUCUUUUUUUUUUUUUUUUUUUUUAAUCAAAUCCAGAUUUCUGCCUGUAGCUCUUCCUCUCCUAUCCUACCGCUCCAAAUAUUAACUUUUUGUGGCUUCGGCCUCAAAUAUGGAAUGUGUCCUGAAGCUUUCUAAAACUUCACACAGGCAGAAACUUGUAAUGAGGAAGAAACAAGAUCUAUUCAGUCCAGAAAGGAACAAUACCAGAUGAGGCAUGAGGGAGGUAUGAGAAAUAUCCAACGGGAUUAGCGUCAAAUCCUCGGGAGACCUUGGCCUUUGGACUAGGUCAAGUCUGCCCACAAAAAUAGGAAAUUGCUCUGGGCCCAGUGAGCAGGUAUGGAGAGCCACAGUCUCACACCCACGCAAGGGCAAGGGCCCGGCCUCAUCAACGUGUCAACAUGGGGAUGGAGCUGCUAAGUGAGGCGCUAUUGCCACAGCGAGUGUGGGCGAUGACUUCCUUUCUGCUUUCCUCCCUCACUCAUUCUCCUCUCUGACUCUGGAGGUCUGGUCUGCAGUCUUGACGGCUCCCAGGCCACAGAAAGUCCACCAGAGAACCUAGAAGGAAGCACCAAGGUGGCAGAACUCAGAAGGGUUUUCUGAGCUGGAAGAGCCCUUGAAGACUGUCUGGUCAGUGGGUCCCCACUGUCCUCGAAGGUCCAGUACCGCACCUGUGAGGAAGCGUUUUCUGGCUUGCCCUCAUUUCCGUUAGAUGGAGUUCAAAGGGUAAGUCCGUGUGAGCAGCCAGGCCCAGGCCCCAGCAGUUCUGUGAGCAUGACUCAUCAAUCAGGCCAUUAGCCACCACAGAAUGGGCCAUUUUCACCUGGUAUUCUCCUUGGAGAGCAAAUAACGAUUCCUUCAAGCUAAAAACCUCCCCAAGAGGCUAGACAGGCACCAUCCCAGGCCUGAGAAAAGGGAGGGGGGCAGUGACUGAAAUCCUGCACAGAAAUUCGUGAGAUUAGUCAGCCAAGAGACUCCGAAGCCCAGACACCCUUCCCCCAGAAAUCGUGAAUGAAAUGCAUUCCUGAAAGUAAUAUGCAAAUAACUCAGACAUGUAAAUCACAUAGAAUUACGAAUAAAGUGCUCCACAGCCAGGGUAAAAACAAAACCAAAGACACUUAGGUCACUGUGGUAUCACAGCUCUUGUUACCUGAGGUUUUCUCUGUUUAUUCUAAGAAUAUCUCCAAAAUACCCAAAGAAUUUGUUCCACCGGGAUUAAAUAAUGACUAAUCUUAUUAGGUAACUGUUUCCUAAGCAUCUUUUAUUUUUAUUUCACACCAAAAAUAAUUUCUGAAGCAGCACUCAAAGGUUUUAAUCAAUUUUCUCCUGAAACGGUCAAGGAGAGAGACUAAAAUAACGUGUUGUUUUUGUAACUAAAGAUGAUAAUUGCAUACAUUCUCAAAGUGCCCUUCACUGACUUGUUAAGCUUUUAAACGCUGCCUAUUUACGCUGAUCAAUUCCUCCCAUUCUCCCCACAAUGAUUAUUCUAGUUACAAAGAAAUAGAGGACCAGACCUGUGUACCACUCAGCAGAGAACAAAGGGCUAGGGACUCCAACCUCAGACUGCAGAAUCUGGUAUCUGAUCACAUAGAAACACAAAUAGAUUUUUUAAUGUCUUAUAAUUAAACCUGUUACUCACACAGCCCCGUGAAAGGGCUGUGACCUGGGGCAGUGGGCCACUUUCUGAUGAUCUGGUGUGUGGGAUUUGGGACUCAUCAAAUUUGGAUACAGGGCUUUCUAAACACCAUGCCCCUUUCGGGAUAGGGGAGGGCAUUUCUAAGGAACUCCCAGGGACUGAGGAAGGGAGGGGCCCAGUCAGGCAGCUCUGAGCUCUGGAAAAGGUCCUACAGGGUGAACUCCCAUCCACCGCCCUUCUCUGGCUGCCUGGAAGGCUCACUCCUUUGCACCGAGGGAAACACUUGUGAUUAAAGCCAUGGCUGGGAAGCCAGGUGGGUCCUUGAAGGAAACCUCUAUUACCUCAGGCCAAAUGUUGCCCACCCUCUAAUUCAAAAAGGGGGUUAAGGCAGGCCGGAGGAAGACCCCUGCAUAAGCACUGCCCUCAAUGCCAGUUUUUCCUUGGGCAGCCCUAAUACUAACCUGCCCUAUUUAGUAACCAUGGAAACAGGAGCUGCCUGCCAGCCAUAUUCAGCAGACACAUGCUUCCUGUUGGCAGCAGCCCCUCAGCUGAGAAGGGCCAAGAGAGUGAGUGCAGAGUCCUUUUCCCAAAGCACCACGGUCCCUGCUAGAAGAUCAGGCUCCCAGUGAGGUAGGCCCUCUCUCCAACAGGGCAUGGAGGGAGAUGGCAGGAGAAAGAUAUGCCUGCUAGGUACCUGCUUUUCACUGUUUCAGCACAUCUGGAACGUAAUACUGCCCAUAGCCCCAAACCCUCCCCAAAGCAGCCCAGAAUCAGGGCAUCAAGCCUUACACUGAGGCACUCUUGGGCUUUGUCAAGCGGCCCCAUGGACAGUGACUCUGCCCAUGGCUAGAGGACAGUGACUCACCCCAGGCUUCAAGGCCUGGCUUGUUCCUGCCCAAAGGGACAUCGGUCAGGGGUGAACACCAGUAAUCGUGAUCAGAACAGCUCAAAACAUCUUGUGGCAACUACUAAGACCCUUUAUCCUACUCCCUCUC